CCGGACCGGCGCACGGUGAGUAACGCGUAUGCAACUUACCUAUCAGAGGGGGAUAACCCGGCGAAAGUCGGACUAAUACCGCAUGAAGCAGGGGCCCCGCAUGGGGAUAUUUGCUAAAGAUUCAUCGCUGAUAGAUAGGCAUGCGUUCCAUUAGGCAGUUGGCGGGGUAACGGCCCACCAAACCGACGAUGGAUAGGGGUUCUGAGAGGAAGGUCCCCCACAUUGGUACUGAGAUACGGACCAA
rnacentral:rRNA from 1 species